AGCAAUACGAGAGUCAUAGUAGAUUGCUAAAAUACGCAAGUACGUAAUGUUCGUCACAUCACAUUUUGAUAUUAAAAGCAUAAUUUACAAUAUAGAUAGGUUCUGUAAGAAAACGAAGUUGAUCGCACGCUGAAAAUUUAAUACACGUACGCUUCAAUCUAGAAAUAAUACGGAAAUUGAACGUGAGUACAUACACAUGUAGAAAAGAUGACAAGAAAUAUAAUAACAUUAUUACAUAUGUAUAUGUCGUACAUAUAUGUAUGUCGAUGGAAAAGAUGAUAAGAAGUGUAUGCGUAUUCAUUCGAUACACAUUAUAUCACGAUUGUUGAGUAAUGUUACGAACGUAAUAUGGCGAUAAAAGAUCGUGCAUCUGUAUAUGUUGUAGGCACGCGGCAUACGCCAUAGAAUGACGGCCGAU